UUGAUCUCAAAGCUUCUUUGGGGAGGAUCCGCCGCCGUUAGGGAGACCUUCUUAGGGGAGGAUACAUUGUUAUAUAGGAAACGCGGUUAAUCCCAUCACCUGAAAUCCCCUUUCCCCUCUUCGUUGAUCCUCUCAUGGAUGUGACCAUUACUGCGGUCGAUCCUCCUGAAACAUCGGGCUUGAGUUACUCUGGCAAUGGGUAAAUCUUAUUUACUGAAGUUACUUUUUGGUUUUGUUGCGAAUAAUAUUUGGGCGGACAUUUUCUGGAGAAAAGGUUUCAUUUUGUUGAGGAUUAUGCAAAACAUAUCGUGGAAGCUUAGUGAAAACCCAAAACUUUGAUGCCAUAUUGAACUGUUGCAAUUAACCCCUUUCUUUAUCUUGACUUGGCGAUGGGUUGGAUCAAUAUAUGCGUUUGGGGUUUCUAUUUGAACUUCACGGCAUAGAGUUAAAUGGCUUUCUUCAAAUUACAGAUGGAUCUUGCUGCGGCUCUUCACCAUUGUUCCUCCGAAGCUGAAAGGGGACAGCUGAACAAAUACAGUUGCUAGAUUUCUAGCAAGACCUUCAGUUGUCAUUCAUCGAAAAUAACUUUCAGCAUCCAAAUUCUUGUGAGAGCAUGGAGAAAUUCUUUGUAUAGCUCAAGUCUUGGACUCUACAUUUGAGAGCUUCCUUUACUGGAAGCAGUAAGGCAGACACAUGACCCAAUUUGGAAGAAGCAUGACAAGAAUGAAGGAUGUGAAGAACAUGAAUUCAUGUCUUCCGAAAUUUUCAGGACCAAAGAGGGUCAGCCUGUCCCCCUAACCCUAACCAAUGCGUGUUGUUGUGACAGUAAAAAUAUGUGGAAAUGUGGAGAAAGGAUCAAAGAGGAAGAACUGCCUCUGCGGAGGAAAGUCAUUCAUUUCCUCUGGUGCUGGGGCCAUGGUUUGCCGGUGUUGCCUAAGUCUUCUGUCGUAAGGCACUUGAGUGUAGGGGACCUCAACCCAUCCGCCGAUCAAUGUCAUCUUCUUCCAUUGAGGCGCCUUCGUCAUGCAAUGCAUCCUGCCGGACCAUCUCGAUCGCAGUUUCAUGGACAUAUUUUCUGGAUCCUCAGAGAGGGUAGGAGAGAAGAUGAACACAAGGUCAAAGGAAUAGUGACAGCAAAUAUUAUCUACCGAGAGAAAGUAUUAAUGCGAAAUGCGGCCAGGUGGAGCCACGGUGGUUGGAUUCCGGCUGGAUACGUUCACGCAGGACGGGAUAACGUGAGAAAGAGAUGGGAUCGAAGUGUACAAAGACGAGGAACAUGACAAAGCUACUCCAAAUGGGCGAUGCAUGAACGACAAGCGAGUGGAUGAGCAUUUGAUCGAUGGCGACGAAUAGAGUGGACAAACAAUUCACAUGCCAACACGUCGGCGACAACGACGGCGGCUCCAGCCGCGAAGUGGUCCUCGAGAGGCAUGCUGAGACACUCUCGAGGUUGUUCUCUGCAUGAAAGAAAGACCAACGAAGCAUCGGCAUGGAGAAAUGACGGUCUUCUUCUCUUUGCGAGGCACACAUGACCACAUCCGAGGAAUGAACACGAUCGAACAGCCUUCUUCUUCAGUUUGGUUCUGUGCCGAAACAGGGGAGAUUUCACAGUGCUUUUAACUCUCUUCAGUUACUCCACGAACAAUUUGUGGACCAUGAAGCCCACUGAACAGGAAGGACCACAUAGAACACCAUUACCUGUAGUUUAAACUCUCGCUAUGCAGCAGCAUAUCAACAGGACAAUGUGAUACACCGAAGAACGGUUUCCUGCUUCAUUAAUAUCUAUCUCCAAUCCAAGAUUUAAAUGAUGCAGAAACAUGUUCUUGAAGUUUCGAGGAGCCACGUGAUGUCUCUUGACGUGGAGAUGGAGGUCGAGCGAAGAGGGACCGGCAGAUGGGGAAAUGAGAUCGAUCGAUCCACCGGGAGGAGGGAAGGAAACAUGUCAGAAUGGACAGCCACUUAUGGAUGUACUUGCAGGCAAGAGAAUCCUGUUUGUGCUGUUGCCCAAUCAUCGGUGGGCCCUCG